rnacentral:lncRNA from 1 species
GAUAUUUCUCACGCAUAUCACUUUCUAACUCCCAAGUUGAUUCUUCAACUUUUGGGUUUCUCCACAAUACUCUCACUAUCUUCACCACUUUAUUCCUUAACACUUUCUCCUUCCUAUCUAGAAUCUCUAUUGGGUUCUCAAUAUAAGACAAAUCUGUCUGAAGUUCUAUUGGUUCGUAUUCUAUCACAUGCUUAGAAUCUGGAUGAUAAUUCUUAAGCAUCGAUACAUGAAAGACGUUAUGAAUAUGCUCCAUAUGUGGGGGUAACACUAAUUCGUAUGCCACUUUACCAACGCGCCUCAAGAUCUCAAAUGGUCCGACGUAU